GCGUGAAACUCCGUCUACUUCUGUUCGAAACAAUUUACGGCAGUUUUAAUAAAAAAAGUUGUUUGUCCAUACCGGAAAUAUUUUUUUAUAUAAACUCUGUAUAAAAAAAGAGCAAUUAACACCAAAAGACAUCAAAGAUAUUACAAAUGAUAAUGGUUUGGUGAAACGUACGGAGGGAUACACAAGGAAUCCUGUAAAGAGUGAAAAGUAGUUUUUCUCUAAUAAUCUUUAUGUUGCUUUUUAUUAUAUUUUUUGAUUCCAAGAAAAUACAAUAUGACAAAAUAUUAUAUGUCAGGAGUGAGAAACUGAUUUUUAUAUAAAAAUACUUCUUUAUUUAUAGAAAAACUAUAAAACUUAAAAUGAAUAUGUUUAUUAGUGAUUCUCUUAAAACCUUUUUUGGCAAAGUAUGUCAAGGUUAAUAUGUGGCACAAAUUGAUAACCUAAUUAAAUAAUUGAAAUCCUUACCUGGUUACCCUUGACAAGCAGGGUUUUCAGAAUUCAUCCAAUUUAUAUAUACAUUUGUUCCUUAUUUUCUUUAGUAAUUCACUAAAUCUCACCCCCCCACCCAGCCUCUCUCAAUCACACAAUCAAACACCUAUUAAUCUACUUAAAUUGCUGAUUGAGGAACAGGACAUUGACCUAACAUUUCUAAUAUUUUAACAAAUGUCUGCGUUUAAGAAACACACAGAAAAAGUUAUUUAUGUAUUUAUUACAUUUAUUUACACAUUUGGUUAUUCCAAACCCCACCCACCCACACAGUCAACCUAACGACGCUCUGAAGGACAGUCAGGAAUCUCUCCUUUUAAGAGAAAUUUCUGAAGUCGUUCAUAAAACACAAUCGAAUCCAUAGCGCAGUCAACCAUUUUUGUACUCUCCAAUAUCACCACUAACAGACUGUCGUAAAACGUCUGCGAUAACAGGAAGUGGUGCCAAUUGAAACGCGUCGACUGUCGUAAAAACGGGAUUUACAGGAAGUAGACGCACUUUCGCGCAUGCGCGGAACAAAUCGUGUUUCCGGGACGGAUCGGGGAGCGACAAGCGACACGCAUCGAGUCGACUGUCGUGAAAAUGGGAAUUACCGGAAGUAGACGCACUUUCGCGCAUGCGCGGAACAAAUCGUGUUUCCGGGACGGAUCGGGUAGCGACAAACCCGAAACUGACAUCCCGACUUCUGGCGACAGCGGAAGUUCGUCGCAACACUUUUGCACAUAUUCUAUUGUUCGAGUGUGGUGUGAACCCAGGAUAAUGCAUUAUAAAAGGAGCUGUGUGUCAUAUUGACACCUAGCAGGUUGAUCUUGGUAUCGCAGCCCAAAUUCAAAAUAUUGGCGAUGGUUUCCCUGCCCCUCCUCAGACCCGACACUCACAGGAGUCACCAGACACUUACAGGGGUGUAAUGGAAAUCAUUGACUCUUCCACAGAUGCCCAUCCCGAGGUAGGAAGAAGUUCCACCAUGUCCAGACGACCGACAGAUGCCCAUCCCCAAUUUGAGAUUACACCAGCUACAGCUGCAGACUGACUGACCAUCCCAGCUCCAUCUAAGGCAAUUCCACCACCAGCCAAGAGAAAUAUGACCAUCGGACCAUCCCAGCUCAGACCACUACAUCCCCAACCAAGAGCAAAGACGGACUAUUUGUCUUAUUAAUGCUGAAGUUACAAUAUUUGAUAUUAAAUGCUAAACUAAAAUCACAUGUCAACAGUUUGAGUGCAGCUAUGACACGUCAGAGGGGAUCUCGCCCUCCCGGCUGAGCCUGGUUCAAUCAUGGGAGUUUGGGUUUAGGCUAUAGCAGUGUUUUUAGGACAAACCAAUAUAUGAAGAGAUCAUUUCCUAAAUGAGAUUUUCCAAAAAUCAUGUUUUUUAUGGUGCAUUCCAAUUAUUAUCUAUCAAACUGCAGUUGGUUUGUUUUGAUUUGUAUCCAUAAUAACUAAAAAAAUACAGCUAACUAACACAAUAAAACAUGAUUUGUGGAAAAUUAUCUCAUUUUGGAACCAAAGUCUUCAUAUGAAACUUAGCAUGUUUCCUAAAUGCCAAUGAACGUAUUAAGGUAUUUUCUUGACUAAAUACAGUAAAAAAAUUACAUACAGCUCCUUUAAGGGUUAUUAAAUGGUGUGAUGCAUUAAAAUUGUUUAUAAUGUGUAUUUUAAUACAUUAAAUACAGUUGAAAAGCCACAAAUAAAAAAGUGAAAUUAA